CGGUUAUCCGUAUUCUUCAACACCUGCGCAAUGAUGCGUUCCAUUGCGCUGUCGCCGUUUUCGGUGAAAUAACGCGU
rnacentral:tRNA from 1 species